rnacentral:rRNA from 1 species
GACGAACGCUGGCGGCGUGCUUAACACAUGCAAGUCGAACGAUGAAACCUAGCUUGCUAGGUCGAUUAGUGGCGAACGGGUGAGUAACACGUGACUAGCCUGCCCCUUUCUCUGGGAUAACGCUCCGAAAGGAGUGCUAAUACCGGAUACUCACAUCGAGGCACAUGCCUUGGUGUGGAAAGUUUUUCGGAAAGGGAUGGAGUCGCGGCCUAUCAGCUUGUUGGUGAGGUAACGGCUCACCAAGGCGACGACGGGUAGCCGGCCUGAGAGGGCGACCGGCCACACUGGGACUGAGACACGGCCCAGACUCCUACGGGAGGCAGCAGUGGGGAAUAUUGCACAAUGGGCGCAAGCCUGAUGCAGCGACGCCGCGUGAGGGAUGAAGGUCUUCGGAUUGUAAACCUCUUUCAGUAGGGACGAAGCGAAAGUGACGGUACCUAAAGAAGAAGCACCGGCUAACUACGUGCCAGCAGCCGCGGUAAGAC